AACGAACGCUGGCGGCAUGCCUAACACAUGCAAGUCGAACGAGACCUCCGGGUCUAGUGGCGCUUGGGUGCGUAACGCGUGGGAAGCUGCCCUUAGGUUCCGAAUAAUUCCCUUAAGGGGGUGCUAAUACAGGAUAAUGUAUUCUGACCAAGGAUUUAUCGCGUUUGGGUGGGCCGGGGUUGGAUUGGCCAGUUGGUAGGGGAAAAGCCUAUCAAGGAGUGGAUGGAUAGCUGGGCUGAGAGGAAGAUAAACCACGCUGGGACUGAGACACGGCCCAGAAUGCGAGGCGAGGGAGGAGUGGGUAAUACUGGACGAGGGGGGAGAGCCUGAUCCAGCAAUGCCGGGUGAGUGAUGCAGGCGGUAGGGAUGUAAAGCUCUUUUACCCGGGGUGAUAAUGACGGUACCGGGAGAAUAAGCACCGGCUAACUCCGUG
rnacentral:rRNA from 1 species